UAUGUAACAUAUAUAACUACUGAAACAUGAAAUCCAUUUUGUAUAAUAAGUCUUGAAUAAACAGUUGAACUGAGAACUCUGCCAACAAAGGUUAUGGGCCCAG